rnacentral:rRNA from 1 species
CCUGCGGAGGGAUCAUUACCGAGUUAUCCAACUCCCAACCCCUGUGAAUUAUACCUUUAAUUGUUGCUUCGGCGGGACUUCGCGCCCGCCGGGGACCCAAACCUUCUGAAUUUUUUAAUAAGUAUCUUCUGAGUGGUUAAAAAAAAAUGAAUCAAAACUUUCAACAACGGAUCUCUUGGUUCUGGCAUCGAUGAAGAACGCAGCGAAAUGCGAUAAGUAAUGUGAAUUGCAGAAUUCAGUGAAUCAUCGAAUCUUUGAACGCACAUUGCGCCCGUCAGUAUUCUGGCGGGCAUGCCUGUUCGAGCGUCAUUACGCCCCUCAAGUCCCCUGUGGACUUGGUGUUGGGGAUCGGCGAGGCUGGUUUUCCAGCACAGCCGUCCCUUAAAUUAAUUGGCGGUCUCGCCGUGGCCCUCCUCUGCGCAGUAGUAAAACACUCGCAACAGGAGCCCGGCGCGGUCCACUGCCGUAAAACCCCCCAACUUUUUAUAGUUGACCUCGAAUCAGGUAGGACUACCCGCUGAACUUAAGCAUAUCAAUA